rnacentral:rRNA from 1 species
GAGUCAUUGGGACUACGUUCUAAACCUAAAGGCGCAAUGAAAGUAAAGGUCCGCCUCGCGCGGACCGAGGGAGGAUGGGACCGUUCGCGGACGGACCCCGCACUCCCGGGGCGUCUCGUUCUCAUCGCGAGGAGAGGCGCACCCAGAGCGUACACGCUGGGACCCGAAAGAUGGUGAACUAUGCCUGGUCAGGACGAAGUCAGGGGAAACCCUGAUGGAGGUCCGUAGCGAUUCUGACGUGCAAAUCGAUCGUCGGAACUGGGUAUAGGGGCGAAAGACUAAUCGAACCUUCUAGUAGCUGGUUCCCUCCGAAGUUUCCCUCAGGAUAGCUGGCGCUCGCCUUCGCGAGUCUCAUUCGGUAAAGCGAAUGAUUAGAGGCAUUGGGGUCGAAACGGCCUCAACCUAUUCUCAAACUUUAAAUGGGUGAGAUCUCCGGCUUGCUUGAAAGUUGAAGCCGCGAGAGAAUCGGAUCGAUGAGUGCCAAGUGGGCCACUUUUGGUAAGCAGAACUGGCGCUGUGGGAUGAACCAAACGCCGAGUUAAAGCGCCCAAAUCGACGCUUAUGGGAUACCAUGAAAGGCGUUGGUA